rnacentral:rRNA from 1 species
UACGGAGGGGGCUAGCGUUGUUCGGAAUUACUGGGCGUAAAGCGCACGUAGGCGGCUUUGUAAGUUAGAGGUGAAAGCCCGGAGCUCAACUCCGGAAUUGCCUUUAAGACUGCAUCGCUAGAACGUCGGAGAGGUGAGUGGAAUUCCGAGUGUAGAGGUGAAAUUCGUAGAUAUUCGGAAGAACACCAGUGGCGAAGGCGACUCACUGGACGACUGUUGACGCUGAGGUGCGAAAGCGUGGGAGCAACAGG